GAUGAACGCUGGCGGCGUGCCUAAUACAUGCAAGUCGAGCGAACAGACGAGGAGCUUGCUCCUCUGACGUUAGCGGCGGACGGGUGAGUAACACGUGGAUAACCUACCUAUAAGACUGGGAUAACUUCGGGAAACCGGCGCUAAUACCGGAUAAUAUAUUGAACCGCAUGGUUCAUUAGUGAAAGACGGUUUUGCUGUCUCUUAUAGAUGGAUACGCGCCGCAUUAGCUAGUUGGUAAGGUAACGGCUUACCAAGGCAACGAUGCGUAGCCGACCUGAGAGGGUGAUCGGCCGCACUGGAGCGGAGACACGGUCCAGACUCCUACGGGAGGCAGCAGUAGGGAAUCUUCCGCAAUGGGCGAAAGCCUGACGGAGCAACGCCGCGUGAGUGAUGAAGGUCUUCGGAUCGUAAAACUCUGUUAUGAGGGAAAAACAAAUGUGUAAGUAACUGUGCACGUCUUGACGGUACCGAAUCAGAAAGCCACGGCUAACUACGUG
rnacentral:rRNA from 1 species